rnacentral:lncRNA from 1 species
GCUGCCUGAGAAGCACAAGUGCUUGGGGCUCUCAUACCUCUUUAGACUUACCAGACUCAGGCCUCUCUAUACUAAGGAGGAUGAAGAGUGUGCCCAUGACUGGGGGUUACCUAACACAGACCCCAGUUCUCCUCGGAAGACCACACUCAUCAGGUGAUAAGGCUCCUGAGACCUUGGUUUAUUCAAUUCUCAAACAUUUACAUUUACAUCCAUUAUGGAAGGGAUACCUAAGUUGACUUAAUAUGGCCCUACCUCUAAGGGCCACACAGUUGGAGAACCAUCCAGAAAAGCACACAAGGAUGCUACCUUUGUGCAAAAAAUAAUACCAAAACUGAACAUAGUCCACCCAAGAAAGGAAUUCAACACCAAAGCCUGAGUCCAUUUGAAGACUGGUAGGUUGGCUUCACACAGAGGCCCAGAGCAAGUGAAAACUAUAAAUUUCUACUUAGUGUUUGUAAUGUGUUCUCAGGAUGGAUUGAAGCAUCCCUCACUGAGUCUGAAAAGGCUACAGAAGUAGCAAAAGCUUUCCUAAAUGAAAUAACUCCUCGUUUUGGACUUCCUUGUUCUAUAUAAUGUGAUAGGGGUUCUUUUGUUUCCAGGAUUACCAGGAGGAUAAGUCAAGCAUUACAGAUGAAAUGGAAAUUGCAUUCAUCAUGGAGUCCACAGUCAACAAGAAAGACAGAGAAAAUAAACCAACCUUUGAAAAAAAUGGUAGCUAAUCUCUAUCAAGAAAUGGAUUUAAGUUGGAAAAGGGUCAUACCCAUUGCCUUUAUCAGAGUAGUGCCCUGAAGCAGUCUAGGGUUAACCCCUUUAAAAUUUGUUUAUAGAAGUCCCUUCCAAACUUCCUUCCUGAAAAUCCCACCUUUAGAUCUAGUAGGUGAGCCAAGACUUAAACAAUAAAAUGACAAUUAGGGGAGACAUUACUAACUAUGCAUCAGUUUUCCCUUUCCAGGUCUGCAUAUCCCACAGACAAGCCUCUUCACCCUUUCUACCCAGGAAACAAAGUGCUGCUGAAGUCUUGGAAAAACAAAGGACAAGACCAACAGCUGCUGAAAAGUGGACAGAAUCUGAACAUAUUGCUAGCUCAUUAGUGAACCCAUCUGGAGGCUUGGAUAUGUCUUUAUCAGCAGUGUGAAAACAGACUAAUACAGCAAACUGGUACCAGUAGAGUGGAGCAUUGCUGGAAAAAUACCCAAAAAUGUGGAAGCAACUUUGGUACUGGAUAACAAGCAGAGGCAGUUUGGAGGGCUCAGAAAAAGACAAGAAAAUGUGGGAAAGUUCGGAAUUUCCUAGACUUGUUGAAUGGCUUUGACAAAAAUAUUGAUAAUGAUAUGGACAAUGAAAUCCAGGUCUAGGUGGUCUCAGAUGAAGAUGAGGUACUUGGGAAUUGGAGCAAAGGUAACUCUUGUUAUGUUUAUCAGGUGUUUCUACUUGCGCAUCCUUCCCAUUUUCUCUACCCACCGCCAUGUAAGAAAUGCCUUUCACCUCCCACCAUGAUUCUGAGGCCUCCCAAGAUAUGUUGAACUGUAAGUUCAAUUAAACCUCUUUUUCUUCCCAGGCCGAGGUAUGUCUUUAUCAGCAGUGUGAAACCAGACUAAUACAAUAGCAUUCUUUCUUUUUGUCCUAGAAGCAAGAAAUCCCUGAUUUACCUUUAUUUUUGGACUAUCCUAUUCUAUCCAAACCUGAUUGUUUCAUUUUCCUUAGGAAAUUUCAAGAGUUUUCUUUUUUUCCAUAAACAUGUUGCCAAUAAAUAACCUAUUCCACUGGCCUCCUGAGCUUAAGCCUUUCUCAUUUCCACUUAUUUCAAAUAUUAUUGCUAGUUGUUAAAGUUCUCAAAUUUGAUUUGACCACUCCAUUAUAAUGAGAUCUCAUCGCAUUUAGGAGUUCUAAUAUGAAAAUCACUUAUUCAUUGAUGGCAUACUAUAGAUUCUGUGGCUUACACAAAGAAGUAUACAGGGGGGCUUCAAGAUAGCUAACUAGAGGCAUCUGGUACUUGCCUCCUCCACAAAGAAGAACCAAAAUGGUGAGUAGAUAAACACACUUCAAACAGAAAAUCUGGGAGAGAACAUAUUAGACUUUUAACAGAAAAGUGACAGGAAACACUUAAAGUGAAGAUAAAAAGAACAAGGUAUCUGUUUGGCCAGGAUCAGCUGGGAGCCUACAAAGGCUCCCCAGUGUAGGGAAAGAGUAAGUGAGUGACUCCUGUAGUUCACAUUCUCACUAUGGACUUUUGUAUGCGAGCCACAGGAAAGCCUCUAAACCCUCACGGUCCCCAGACUAAUAUAGGGAGCAAGUGGGGACAGAUCUGAAGAGAAAGCUCAAACUGAGUCUCACACACACCGAGUCCUAAACAUCUACAGCAAAGCACCAUAUUGAAAGACCAGAUCCCAAAAGACUACAUCUUGUCUGGGGGCCAAACAGACCAUGCAUGUCCACAUUUCUGGAGCCUCAUUGAUAUUUCCCAACAGCAGCCACUACUAUAGUUGACUGCUACCUCCAUGACUGAAGCACAAGCCAUUUGCAAAGGCCACACUGCCCCCAGUAGAGAAGUUGCAGUAUAUUUUCCUGGACUCCAGGGACAAACAUCACUUCUCACAGUAGCUGCCAUUUCAAGCUGCCACAACUGGGGCCAAAACACUUGUAAAGUACUUACUCCCCAGCUGCCUGCAUUUGGUUGCUGCCACUGAAAGCAACUCUUCCCUCCUCAGAAACAAGCCUGCAGCACAGCCAUUGCCAUCCCCACCCAAGCAUUACACUCUGGUCCUAAGUAUUGCCCUACCCAAGCAUACCACAACCAGUGUCUGCACACAUCACCAGAAGGCUUGCAGAAAGGUCUUCCCAGCCAAACUCUGCCCUGCAAUGCCUGAACAUGCCUUCUAGGGGUCCAGGGAACAUGCAGCCCAGGCAAUUAUCAUUGGAACCAGAGAACUCCUCCAAGGAUCCUAGGUCAGGCCCACCCAACCUGCUACCACCACCACUGCAAGCACCCACCUGUAGGCCUGGUGACUAACUCAUGCAACUUGUCACAGCCACUGCCAACACCAGUGUGAAGCAAGUGGGACCCAGAGGUUAGUUCCAUCACUGCUACUACCAUCUCCCAUACAACACUCACUACUCAGAGGCCUAAACCCGCCCACCUACUUGGCCCACUGCUGCCACUGCCAGCACCUAAGCAAGUUUCCAGGAGGCCCAAACCUGUGUGCACCCUCUAACACUGGUGCCAGUGUUGCUAUCCUGGAGCCCAAGAACAGUCAUGUUCAGCCUACUACUGCCACAACUGGAGUCCAAGGACAGGCCCAUCUGGCAUCCCCAUUUCAGCAAAACUUCCCCAGUGACCCUGAUAACAAAUAAGAGAGAAAAUAAGAAGGAUGCAAUAACCUAAUCUACCAAGGAAAUCACAAACAGCACUGAUGCUAUGUACAGCAAAAUAAAUUAUAUUGAGACUAUACUACUGUAUGCAUCCAGUAUCAAAGCCAAAGUGUCUGACCUAACCAGCAUGACAGAUACAUCUUCAGUCCUCCCUUAGAAAAGCAGCAAAUUCAAAACAUUGAAACAAGCUCUCAUUAGACAAGAUGUGCAGAUAUCAAUGUAAAGACACAAAAAUAUUUUUUAAAAAAAGAUAUGACACCUCCAAGGAAUACAGUAAUACUCCAGCAAUAGAGUUCAAUUAAAAAGAACUUUAUAAAAUCCUAAAUAAAGAAUUUGAAAUAAUA